rnacentral:rRNA from 1 species
AACGUAGGUGGCAAGCGUUAUCCGGAUUUACUGGGCGUAAAGCGCUCGUAGGCGGCCUUUCAGGUCGGUUGUGAAAUCUCCUGGCUCAACUGGGAGGGGGCGACCGAAACCGGGGGGCUUGCAGGCCAGAGAGGGACAGGGAAUUCCCGGAGUAGUGGUAAAAUGCGUUGAUAUCGGGAGGAACACCAGUGGCGAAAGCGCUGUCCUGGCUGGAACUGGACGCUGAGGAGCGAAAGCGUGGGGAGCGAACGGG